UAGGGAAUCUUCGGCAAUGGACGAAAGUCUGACCGAGCAACGCCGCGUGAGUGAAGGAGGUUUUCGGAUCGUAAAACUCUGUUGUUAGAGAAGAACAAGGACGUUAGUAACUGAACGUCCCCUGACGGUAUCUAACCAGAAAGCCACGGCUAACUACGUGCCAGCAGCCGCGGUAAUACGUAGGUGGCAAGCGUUGUCCGGAUUUAUUGGGCGUAAAGCGAGCGCAGGCGGUUUCUUAAGUCUGAUGUGAAAGCCCCCGGCUCAACCGGGGAGGGUCAUUGGAAACUGGGAGACUUGAGUGCAGAAGAGGAGAGUGGAAUUCCAUGUGUAGCGGUGAAAUGCGUAGAUAUAUGGAGGAACACCAGUGGCGAAGGCGGCUCUCUGGUCUGUAACUGACGCUGAGGCUCGAAAGCGUGGGGAGCAAACAGG
rnacentral:rRNA from 1 species